rnacentral:rRNA from 1 species
ACGUAGGCAGCAAGCGUUGUUCGGAGUUACUGGGCGUAAAGGGUGUGUUGGCGGUUCUCUAAGUCUGGUGUGAAAUCUCCCGGCUCAACUGGGAGGGUGCGCCGGAAACUGGAGGGCUAGAGUGCGGGAUGGGAGAGUGGAAUUCCUGGUGUAGCGGUGAAAUGCGUAGAUAUCAGGAGGAACACCUGUGGUGUAGACGGCUCUCUGGACCGCAACUGACGCUGAGACACGAAAGCGUGGGUAGCAAACAGGA